rnacentral:rRNA from 1 species
GAUGAACGCUGGCGGCGUGCCUAAUACAUGCAAGUCGAGCGAACAGACGAGGAGCUUUCUCCUCUGACGUUAGCGGCGGACGGGUGAGUAACACGUGGAUAACCUACCUAUAAGACUGGGAUAACUUCGGGAAACCGGAUCUAAUACCGGAUAAUAUAUUGAACCGCAUGGUUCAAUAGUGAAAGACGGUUUUGCUGUCACUUAUAGAUGGAUCCGCGCCGCAUUAGCUAGUUGGUAAGGUAACGGCUUACCAAGGCGACGAUGCGUAGCCGACCUGAGAGGGUGAUCGGCCACACUGGAACUGAGACACGGUACAGACUCCUACGGGAGGCAGCAGUAGGGAAUCUUCCGCAAUGGGCGAAAGGCUGACGGAGCAACGCCGCGUGAGUGAUGAAGGUCUUCGGAUCGUAAAACUCUGUUAUUAGGGAAGAACAAAUGUGUAAGUAACUAUGCACGUAUUGACGGUACCUAAUCAGAAAGCCACGGCUAACUACGUG